rnacentral:rRNA from 1 species
GGGGAAUAUUGCGCAAUGGGGGAAACCCUGACGCAGCAACGCCGCGUGAAGGAUGAAGGUUUUCGGAUUGUAAACUUCUUUGAUGAGGGACGAAUAAUGACGGUACCUCAAAAACAAGCCACGGCUAACUACGUGCCAGCAGCCGCGGUAAUACGUAGGUGGCGAGCGUUGUCCGGAAUUACUGGGUGUAAAGGGCGUGUAGGCGGGGAGACAAGUCAGAUGUGAAAUACCGAGGCUUAACUUCGGGGCUGCAUCUGAAACUGUUUUUCUUGAGUGUCGGAGAGGAAAGUGGAAUUCCCAGUGUAGCGGUGAAAUGCGUAGAUAUUGGGAGGAACACCAGUGGCGAAGGCGACUUUCUGGACGACAACUGACGCUGAGGCGCGAAAGCGUGGGGAGCAAAC